UACGUAGGGUGCGAGCGUUGUCCGGAAUUACUGGGCGUAAAGAGCUCGUAGGUGGUUUGUCGCGUUGUUCGUGAAAUCUCACGGCUUAACUGUGAGCGUGCGGGCGAUACGGGCAGACUAGAGUACUGCAGGGGAGACUGGAAUUCCUGGUGUAGCGGUGGAAUGCGCAGAUAUCGGGAGGAACACCGGUGGCGAAGGCGGUUCUCUGGGCCUUACCUGACGCUGAGGAGCGAAAGCGUGGGGAGCGAACAGG
rnacentral:rRNA from 1 species